GGCCGGGUGCCGCCAUCUUGUAGCAGAACUUCACUUGCGUUAGCAUUCCCAUUGACUCCCAUUCAUUUUGGCAUCACUUUGACAGCGAAUAACUUUACAUCGGAGGCGUUUAAAGACUCCGUUUGUCCAUUAUUUAUUUCUAAAGAUACACGACAAUGUAUAAAGGGCUCCAUUACCUUCUACGUUACAUUAUGGCCCCGUAGAAACAGUUUUUGUAAAAAAUAGGCUAACGAUUGCAUCAUAACCACGCGACUCUCUGUCGCAUUACCGUACAGACAGGAAGAGAAGCUCGCAGGCAAUUAACUUAAUAUAGCGUACUGGCGUUACAUUUUAAAAUACUAUACAAAAUAAUUAAUCAGAAUACUUACUCCUGCUCACUCACGCCAAAGAACUCCCCGCUCAAGCUCGCCGUCUCUGCAAGAUUAACGAUGGCAGUUUGCACGCAUAGCUACUAGAAGAUUUACAUCUGUCAGACAGGUUGCUGAUGUCAUCAAGCUUAGUUUGAGUCUGCGCGUCAGAAACGGAAGUGCUAAAAAACGCUAAAAAUGGGCUUCACUUGUCUCAACUGAGUUUCAAUGGGAUCGCUGUGUCCAUUUCUUUUACUGUUGUGGUGGAAAAAUUCAUUUUAACAUUGCUUCUUUAUACCCAUAUAUGCAUGUGUUUUCUUAGAAUUGCUGUGUGGUUCAGAAGGGUGACACCUGGGGGGAAAACAGAUGUCUGAGAAUGACCUGAGAGGGUCAUUGGGCCAUAUAGUGGGGGGACAAUGCCUGAGGAUGAUCCGAGGGGGUCACCUAAGUCCUAAAUGUGUAAGAAACCGCCCAUAGAGAGUGUUCCUUGUUAUGUGUGGAAAUUUACAGCUGCUGAAACUGUGUAACCUUGGAAGAGCAGAGGUAUAUAAGGUGGAGGACUGCCCUCUUCCUGGGUCGGUUUCACUCUGCAGGAACUCAGUGUUGCUGUAUGACUGUCUGACCUUCUUUGCAAAGAAUAAAAGCUUUCUUUUUAAGUAUACCUGAGAAUGCUGAGGCCCGGAGGAGACACCACUGGAAUCAGAAAAGAACCGGAGUGGCAACAGAGCUCUCGGGUGAAAGCUGCUCAGGAGAAGGUUGCUGAAAUUCCAUUGCACAACCUGAAACCAGGAGAUUUCGUGGUACGAGAUCUCUGGUACGAGAUCUGAGGAGAAAGAGCUGGAAGGCGAAAAGGUGGCUGGGACCGUUCCAGGUGCUUCUGACCACUCACACGGCUGUGAAGGGAGCAGAGAGAGCAACGUGGAUCCAGGCUAGCCACUGCAGAAAGGUCCCACCUGCAUCUGAGUAAGAGCAGCUGAGGGAGUAAAGAUCUGGAGACACACAUGUCAACAAGGCCAAGAAUCCAGCCUAAACAUCAAGCGUCCUUAUCAGCGGGAAGAGCAAGGUUAAGACUGAAAAACAGCAUCGAAGUAGUCUGCGCGCAAGUAAAAAGAUAACUAUGAGCAUCAUAGUUGGGUACAUCAUGUUGUUUUCAUAUUCCAGACUACAGUGACAACGUUACCAAUAUCAUCACUCAUAUGAGAAUGGCGGUAAAAGAGUCUGAACGUACACAUAUGGCUGCUAAAUGAUUUUUGCUGCUAUUAUGUCUACUAUGUAUUUUUUAGUUGAUAUCCAGCUCAGUACAGAGACUGGUAAAGUUUAGUGUUUCACAUCAAAUGGUUCAAAUGACUGUAUGCAAUGAAGACAUUAUCAUGUAUUUGAGUAGGGAGAAAACUAUUGAUGAAGGGACAAACAGUAGUGGAAGCUACAGUGAAAUGUGUUAAAUGUAUGAGAUUUAUGAGAUUUUUUUCUUUGAAGUAAGAAAUGUUCAGGCCUAUCUGAAUCUAUACUGUUUGCUUGCUUGAAAUAGGGUCUGUCCCCAUAUAAAAAGCCUUAGCAUAUUUUCUAAAUUCUUUUACAAACUUAAGAGGGUGAUCAUUUAUGCGAAGAUCAGUGAUGAAGAGUAUAAAUGUGAUGAAAUGCCUUAAGUUUGCUUUAUUUUGAAUCAUGUUUGUAUUUCUGAGUGUAAAAUCUUUGAUUUUGGAUUGUGUUUGUAUCUGACGUGACUGAGGGUCUGACUAAAUGUCAGGAAUGCAGUAGCAGUGACUUACUCGUUUAGCCCGGCGCCCAGAGCAAACAUAAUGUUAAGUGUGUAGUGAGAAUAUAAUCAGUAGUAAUGAAUUUUUAUGUUUUAUUGAUCAAUGAAUGAUAAAAAGAGGGAAAUUGUGGUGGAAAAAAUCAUUUUAACAUUGCUUCUGUAUACCCAUAUAUGCAUGUGUUUUCUUAGAAUUGCUGUGUGGUUCAGAAGGGUGACACCUGGGGGGAAAACAGAUGUCUGAGAAUGACCUGAGAGGGUCAUUGGGCCAUAUAGUGGGGGGACAACGCCUGAGGAUGAUCUGAGGGGGUCACCUAAGUCCUAAAUGUGUAAGAAACCGCCCAUAGAGAGUGUUCCUUGUUAUGUGUGGAAAUUUACAGCUGCUGAAACUGUGUAACCUUGGAAGAGCAGAGGUAUAUAAGGUGGAGGACUGCCCUCUUCCUGGGUCGGUUUCACUCUGCAGGAACUCAGUGUUGCUGUAUGAUUGUCUGACCUUCUUUGCAAAGAAUAAAAGCUUCCUUUUUAUUUA